AAAAAGUAUAGCUUCACCAGUAUUUUUGGCUGUUUAUAUGCUUUCAAAUAAAUCACAUGUAAACUGGUCUCUCUAAGCUGGGAGAAUAAAUCCAAGUGAACAAACUUAAGUUCUGCUAACUGAUUUCAGGAGGUUUCUUUUAUCCCCCCUUUCAUAUAUCUUUGAAAAGGAGAUAAGUAUAUAUGUCACUUUCUGCAGAUAUCAAUUGGCUCUAAUGUUGUUCAUAAAUAU